CUCCCCCAUUUCUCCCCCCCUUCCUUCCCACUGAGGGUUCUCCCUACGGAUCCCCGGAGCGGCUGGCUUAACACCGCGACAUCCCCCCCCGUGAGGCGGGAGGAUUGGACCAAGAAGGCAGAUGUCUGAUAAAUAUCAUGUACGGAUCAAAAUGAAACCAUCCGUUUGGUACUCCCUCUGCUGGCUUCCAAGAAAACCAACAAACCAGCUUUCAGAGCACUUGGAGAAGGAGUCUUCCUGGCAAUUAACAUCGCAGACUAGGAGUUAUAACUCUUGCAGGAGUCCAGGGUUGGUAGAACAGCCUGCCUUUCCAGGGUUCAUUGUGAACCCAGGGCUGCCAAAUAAAACAGCAGCCGUCAUGUUGCUAUGAUCAACUGAUGGAAGAGAAAAGGGCAUCAAGAAGACCCAGAAGUUGGCUCUGGUUGCUUUUCAAGCGACAACCGGGCAGAACAGCCACAGCUGGAAAGGUGAAGACCAAAAGUGACUGUCGCUAACCAGGCUGCCAGUGAGGACUCUGUUGUGUUUCCUUAGCUUGCCUCUGCCACAGACGAGGACUCCUGUUGGAAACCUAAAUCAGGUCAGUUAAUCAUUGGCUUUCCCGAUUCUCCUGGGAUGAGUGAAAAAAAGAUACAGUGGUGCUUUGCUUAACGGCGAUAAUCCGUUCCAGGAAAAUCGCUAUUAAGCAAAAACAUCGUAAAGCGGAAAAAAACCCAUUGAAAUGCAUUGAAGCCCCUUCAAUGCGUUCCAGUGGGGUCAAAACUCACCGUCCAGCAAAGAUCCUCCAUAGGGCAGCCGUUUUCGCUGCCUGUCUUGCGAGGAAUCCGUCCCAGAAAACAGCGGGGAGCCAUUUUGUUUACCCGGCGGCCAUUUUGAAACUGCUGAUCAGCUGUUUCAAAAUCGUCGUUUUGCAAAGAAUCGGUUCCCGAAGCAGGGAACCAAUCAUCACAAAGCGAAAAAAACCCUUUUAGACCAUCGUUUUGCGAUGGUACCGAUGCUUCAUUCCCAACCAACAUGAAUUCUGCCCAGUUACCCCAACCCUUCUGGCUCCCAUUAUUUCUCGCUGGACACAAUUGGGCUGAAUGGCAGACGUUGCUGUCAUGGGCAUAAUAGCCAGCAACUUGCAUUUAAAAACAAAAGAAGUGACCCCUAAAGUCCCCCAGUUCAAGUUCUGUGCCCAAACAGAAUGGCUGUAUAGAACUAUGGGAUCUGCACAACAGUAUCUUUGCAUUCUUGACCUUUCAUCUGUUGAUCAUACUUCACAAGAACCGGCUCUUGAGGUUACUUUCUAAGAAAAAAAGGUUGAAUAAACUACUGCC
rnacentral:lncRNA from 1 species